GAGAACGCUGGCGGCGUGCUUAACACAUGCAAGUCGAACGGAAAGGCCCUUUCGGGGGUACUCGAGUGGCGAACGGGUGAGUAACACGUGGGUGAUCUGCCCUGCACUUUGGGAUAAGCCUGGGAAACUGGGUCUAAUACCGGAUAGGACUACGCACUGCAUGGUGUGUGGUGGAAAGCUUUUGCGGUGUGGGAUGGGCCCGCGGCCUAUCAGCUUGUUGGUGGGGUGAUGGCCUACCAAGGCGACGACGGGUAGCCGGCCUGAGAGGGUGUCCGGCCACACUGGGACUGAGAUACGGCCCAGACUCCUACGGGAGGCAGCAGUGGGGAAUAUUGCACAAUGGGCGCAAGCCUGAUGCAGCGACGCCGCGUGGGGGAUGACGGCCUUCGGGUUGUAAACCUCUUUCAGUAUCGGCGAAGCUCCCGCAUUUUUGUGGGGGUGACGGUAGGUACAGAAGAAGCACCGGCCAACUACGUGCCAGCAGCCCGGGUUAAUACA
rnacentral:rRNA from 1 species